GAUGCUGGUAAGGUUUAAAGACAUGUUUAGGUAAUACAUAUAUAUACCUCUCUCUGGUUGUUCGUCGCCUCACCGCUCUCUUCUCUUCUCUCGCCACUCACGUUAUUAGAAGUGAAACGGUACCGAACCCCCACGAUGUACUUGUACCAAGAAGACGAACAAUAUAACCUCUAGUAAAACGAGUAGUGGUGCCGCGGCAGACGUCGCGACCGCGCAGGUUCACGCUCUGGCCGUUUCCUUUACCCGCCGGGGUUGACAGGCCGUACAUAUCUUAUAGGAA
rnacentral:rRNA from 1 species